UUGACAAUAAAUAACAAUGCCGGGCCUUUCUAGGUCUGUCAAUUGGAAUGAGAACAAUUUAAACCCCUUAUCGAGGAUCAAUUGGAGGGCAAGUCUGGUGCCAGCAGCCGCGGUAAUUCCAGCUCCAAUAGCGUAUAUUAAAGUUGUUGCAGUUAAAAAGCUCGUAGUUGGAUUUGUGGUGUUUGGCUGAGUCCCAGCAUUGUCUGGGUGCUCGUGUUGAAUGCCAUCCUUGGGUGGAAGCAGUGUGGCAUUAGGUUGUCGUGCUGUGGAUGCCCAUCGUUUACUGUGAAAAAAUCAGCGCGUUCAAAGCAGGCUUAUGCCGUUGAAUGUAUUAGCAUGGAAUAAUAAGAUAGGACCUUGGUACUAUUUUGUUGGUUUGCGCACCGAGGUAAUGAUUAAUAGGGACAGUUGGGGGUAUUCGUAUUCCAUUGUCAGAGGUGAAAUUCUUGGAUUUCUGGAAGACGAACUACUG
rnacentral:rRNA from 1 species